rnacentral:rRNA from 1 species
UACGAAGGGUGCUAGCGUUGUUCGGAAUUACUGGGCGUAAAGCGCGCGCAGGCGGCUAUCCAAGUCAGUGGUGAAAGCCCGGAGCUUAACUCCGGAACUGCCAUUGAAACUGUUUAGCUUGAGUAUGAGAGAGGUGAGUGGAAUUCCCAGUGUAGAGGUGAAAUUCGUAGAUAUUGGGAAGAACACCAGUGGCGAAGGCAGCGAAUUGGCGCUUUAUUGACGCUCAGGCACGAAAGCAUGGGGAUCAAACAGG